rnacentral:rRNA from 1 species
UACCAGCACCCCGAGUGGUCGGGACGUUUUAUUGGGCCUAAAGCAUCCGUAGCCGGUUCUACAAGUCUUCCGUUAAAUCCACCUGCUCAACAGAUGGGCUGCGGAAGAUACUAUGGAGCUAGGAGGCGGGAGAGGCAAGCGGUACUCGAUGGGUAGGGGUAAAAUCCGUUGAUCCAUUGAAGACCACCAGUGGCGAAGGCGGCUUGCCAGAACGCGCUCGACGGUGAGGGAUGAAAGCUGGGGGGAGCAAACCGG